CUUCUUCAUCUUUUCUCAUUUCUGGACGGGCCAUCCCUCGUCAGGGCAUCCUCUGUCUGUCAGCAAUGGUACGAUGUGGCAUAUGAUGAUGUCCUGUGGCGAAACCUUGUGCAUCAGAAAAUACAGAAACAUGCCCCUCUUCCCGCGGACAAACACAGCUGGAGGGAAGAGUACAAACGACUCGCUUAUCAUAUCCCAUCAUACCUUGGUCAGGAUGUGGCUGGACAUGAAGAUGAAAUUUACUUCCUGACAUUCUCUCCCAGUGGAAAGUUCCUUGCUUCUGUAGGGAAAGAUGGAACAUGCAGAGUUUGGAAUUAUGGCAGUACAAUAACCCUUCAAAAUACUGUGGGUCCAUUCUUCAACCCCCCACUAAAGACACGGUUUUGUGAAUUUAACGAAUCAGAGACGUUAUUAAUGGUUACAGGACUUACACAGUUAUUUGAUUUUGAGGGGAGCAUUUUCGUUGCAGUGUUCUCUGUACCAGAUUUCAUGUUACAAUAUGCUGUCAAGGGAGAGUACCCAAAUUUCAGAGGGGCUUGGCUGAAUGACACACAUUUUCUUGUCGCAAAACGAUUCUAUCAGGAUAGAGAAUACUUCAAGCUGGAGGCACAUGAGGUUAAAUUAAAAUCAAAAAGUAAAAGCAGAAACUUAGAAGAGCUGUUCAUGAAGAGCAGAAAUAAAGGAAAGGAUGUUUUGGUGUCUUGUCCAUUUCCUUCAAGGAAUGACUUUAUCCGAGUGAUCGACCCCAGGAAGUGGGGGGAUCUAAGGCAGUAUUACCCUAACCUAGAUGAGUUUGAAAUGGACCCUUCAGGUAGUGACAACAGCCAGCCAGGGGGAGGACAAACAAAGCAACAACAGAGUAAAUUUGACACAGGCUCCUCAGACAAUGAAGAAGUUGACUUUGGCGGAGAGAAUUCAAAAAGUUCUGAUUAUCGAUUUGAUGAAGACUCCAGUAGUGAAGACAGUGUAAGUGAUGAAUCUGAAUAUGAUAUGGAGGAUGCCUAUUUGGAUGACUAUCCAUUGUAUAAUAAAAUGGUUCAAAGGGCCAGGGAAAUGGAAAACCGGAGGCAGCAGGCAAGGAAACAUGUUCCACCAAUGAAGGACGAGAGCUCCCAGCCCUACCCUCAGGUUCUUAGGCAGAUUCAGUCACAGGGAGGGAGGAUUAUCACAAUGGUCCGUAACUCCAACCGUGGAGAGAAGUGUGGGAUUGCUUUCUAUUCUGUGAAGGACAAUGAGGAAGCAUCUGCAAAACCGUUCAAAGUUCUCAAAGUGGAUGCUGGGAUCCUGGGUCUGAGAGUGAGCCAUGAUCAGAGGUAAAUAGCAAAAAUAUAGCCAUGGUAUGAGGAACUUACCAAAAACAUAGCCAUGAUCAGAGGUACAUAGAGAAAUUGUGUGAAAUUAUAGCCAUUAUCAGUGGCACAUAUCCCUUUAGAAGUAUUCAUGUACAUGUAUUAGGGUGAAAUUAUAGAAGUAAGCUAGCAAGAAAAUUCAGAUCAUGGGUCAGGAAUGGGCCACAAUUUUACAUAGAUUAUACACGAAUUUAGACCUGUAUUUGUUUUGUAAUGAUAUAUUGACUCGAGGUCAGGUAUUGUCAUUCAGGUGAGCGAUGUAGCCCAUUGGUUUUUGUGUGUUACAGGUACCUGGGUUACUCCUGUCGUUACCUGACAGAGGACGAUGACUGGGGCUUUGAGAGGGAGAUUCUCACCGUCGUGUAUGACCUGAUUCUAGAUCAGUGUCAGGAGAAUGUUUACCUGGGUGGUUACGCGACUUCCACAGACCAUCUAAGCUACAUCUUUCCUGACCUUAGCCAAGAUUUUGUAGCCACGGGUGACGAGAUCACAGAAGGUCACCUGUGGGACAGACAUUAUGGAGUAAAGCUGGAGACCAGCAUCCUACACAGGAACUGUGGACAGCAGAGUAGCGGACUCAACGCGGUGGCGUUCCACCCCUAUGACCAGGAAACCCUCGUCACCGCGGGAGACGAUAGACUACUGAAAGUGUGGAGAUCCAAAAACAGACAGGCUCAGAUAGCGAGGGGGGAAUACCUUGGUGAAAUCAUGGGUAGGGGAUUGAUGGGGGGCGUUGAAUGUGGUGAUUUGCCUGAAGAAGAUGAGAGUUCAUGUGAUAAGAGUACCCACUCAAAGAAGUGUUCAAAGCCACAUAAACUACUCUCUUUUUUCAAGAAAAAAGCAUUAAAGAAGUGAAAGUGUCUAUGAUUUCUAACUCUGUGAUAUAUAUAUAUACACAUUGUAAUAAUAAGUAUUCUUCUAGUUUUAUAGAAUAAAACAAGUGCACAAUACG
rnacentral:misc_RNA from 1 species